GUGAUGUGUGCAUCAGAAAACUUUUUACAGCAGUCUGUUGACUCUAAUAAGAAAACACUGGCAUGUCUUUGUUUCUGUUUCAUUUUUCUAGUAAUUAAUCCCCACUGUACUCUAUGAAGGUAUUGGUCCAUGAUUAAUUGGAAAAAAUUAAAAAGGCCACAGUCCUGUGGCAUGGAGAACUUGAAAGAGCCUGUUCUAGACACUUGGAAUGCAGUGGUGAGGGGUCCGGGGCCCGUCAGACAGCUAAGCACAGGGACAGCUCCCCACGGACGUGCUCCGCCAGGGCACAAGGAAGCCAUGAGGAGCGUUUCAGAUGAGGGAGCAGUGACAUGACCAGAUCGCGUUUGACUCCAGCACCCGGGUCCCCGGGCUCUCACUCUGACAUUGUGUUUGGAUUACGAGUGAGGGCUUUCCGCUUA